rnacentral:rRNA from 1 species
GAGUAACACGUGGGUAACCUGCCUGUAAGACUGGGAUAACUCCGGGAAACCGGAGCUAAUACCGGAUAGUUCCUUGAACCGCAUGGUUCAAGGAUGAAAGACGGUUUCGGCUGUCACUUACAGAUGGACCCGCGGCGCAUUAGCUAGUUGGUGGGGUAAUGGCUCACCAAGGCGACGAUGCGUAGCCGACCUGAGAGGGUGAUCGGCCACACUGGGACUGAGACACGGCCCAGACUCCUACGGGAGGCAGCAGUAGGGAAUCUUCCGCAAUGGACGAAAGUCUGACGGAGCAACGCCGCGUGAGUGAUGAAGGUUUUCGGAUCGUAAAGCUCUGUUGUUAGGGAAGAACAAGUGCGAGAGUAACUGCUCGCACCUUGACGGUACCUAACCAGAAAGCCACGGCUAACUACGUGCCAGCAGCCGCGGUAAUACGUAGGUGGCAAGCGUUGUCCGGAAUUAUUGGGCGUAAAGGGCUCGCAGGCGGUUUCUUAAGUCUGAUGUGAAAGCCCCCGGCUCAACCGGGGAGGGUCAUUGGAAACUGGGAAACUUGAGUGCAGAAGAGGAGAGUGGAAUUCCACGUGUAGCGGUGAAAUGCGUAGAGAUGUGGAGGAACACCAGUGGCGAAGGCGACUCUCUGGUCUGUAACUGACGCUGAGGAGCGAAAGCGUGGGGAGCGAACAGGAUUAGAUACCCUGGUAGUCCACGCCGUAAACGAUGAGUGCUAAGUGUUAGGGGGUUUCCGCCCCUUAGU